rnacentral:rRNA from 1 species
AUGCAAUCUUAUGAUGAAAAACUUAAUUUGGAAGUUUCUAUACCUAAAAAACUUAAUGAUGAGUGGGAACCUACUAUAAACAUUAGAAUUAAAGAUCAUGAGUGUUUUUCUUUGUGUGAUUUGGGUGCUAGUGUUUCCAUGAUUCGGAAAACUUUAUGUGAUAUUCUAGGUUUCCAUGAUCUUGACGAUUGCUCUUUCAAUUUGCACCUUGCGGAUUCCACCAUUAAAAAGCCAAUGGGAAGAAUCAAUGAUGUUCUCAUUGUUGCAAAUAGAAAUUUGGUGCCCGUGGAUUUUAUUGUUCUUGAUAUAGAUUGCAAUCUUUCUUGCCCUAUUAUUCUUGGUAGACCUUUCCUUAGAACGAUUGGCGCGAUUAUUGAUAUGAAGGAAGGGAAUAUUAGAUUCCAAUUUUCAUUAAAGAAAGGCAUGGAGCACUUUCCAAGAAAUAAAGUCAAAUUACCUUAUGAAUCUAUCAUGCGGGCUACUUAUAAAUUUAGUGCCAAAGAUGGCACUCGUUAG